rnacentral:rRNA from 1 species
CCUACGGGAGGCAGCAGUAGGGAAUCUUCCACAAUGGGCGAAAGCCUGAUGGAGCAGCGCCGCGUGAGUGAUGAAGGCCUUCGGGUUGUAAAACUCUGUCAUUCGGGACGAACCGGAGUCUGAGGAAAUGCAGACUCUCUGACGGUACCGGAGGAGGAAGCCCCGGCUAACUACGUGCCAGCAGCCGCGGUAAUACGUAGGGGGCAAGCGUUGUCCGGAUUCACUGGGCGUAAAGCGCGCGCAGGCGGUGAUGUAAGUCUGAGGUGAAAACCCGAAGCUCAACUUCGGGACUGCCUUGGAUACUGCGUCACUUGAGGAUAGGAGAGGCAAGGGGAAUUCCACGUGUAGCGGUGAAAUGCGUAGAGAUGUGGAGGAACACCUGUGGCGAAGGCGCCUUGCUGGCCUAUUUCUGACGCUGAGGCGCGAAAGCGUGGGGAGCAAACAGGAUUAGAUACCCUGGUAGUCCACGCUGUAAACGAUGAGUGCUAGGUGUAGGUGGGCUCAUACCCAUCUGUGCCGAAGCUAACGCAUUAAGCACUCCGCCUGGGGAGUACGGUCGCAAGACUGAAACUCAAAUGAAUUGAGG